UACGGAGGGGACUAGCGUUGUUCGGAAUUACUGGGCGUAAAGCGCACGUAGGCGGAUUUGUAAGUCAGGGGUGAAAUCCCGGAGCUCAACUCCAGAACUGCCUUCGAUACUGGCGAUCUCGAGUUCGGGAGAGGUGAGUGGAACUGCGAGUGUAGAGGUGAAAUUCGUAGAUAUUCGCAAGAACACCAGUGGCGAAGGCGGCUCACUGGCCCGAUACUGACGCUGAGGUGCGAAAGCGUGGGGAGCAAACAGG
rnacentral:rRNA from 1 species